GUGCGGUAGUGAUCUCAUCUCGGACCGCGCCAGGUGUAAGUGUAUAAUAUCCCAAUUCGAAAAAUUCUAAACGACCAAAGUGAAAAUGCACGAAAUUUUCAAACUUCUUUUUUCCAUUCAAUUUUUUAAUUCAGACAAUUUAUUCAAAAAAUGAUAUUCAGUAUUCAGCAAAUAUCGUCACUACGCGAUGAAAAUCUUAAGUGAGUCAUCAGCAGUCGUUGAUCGUCUUAUUCAUAUACGUCUUUCGUUCGUUUUAAAUAAUUUGGAAUUUUUCCUCCAAAAGAAUAUUUUAUCAAUAAAAAAAAUAUUUUUUAUGAAAUUUUAAGGCUUAUCAAAAUUUUGUGCGCUUGGAAUCUGAAUGCUUGUCAACUUGGAAGAAAUGAAAGCAGAUGAUGUUUAAGUGAAGAGAAUUUUUUCGAAGAGAAGAAAGAAUAAAGAAGAAUUAUGCUAAGAAGAUUUUCUGUUUUGGAGUGAGGAAUUUUUUUUUUUUAUAAAAAAAAAGAAGAUGAUGGCGCGGACAUUU